AACCUACGGGACGCAGCAGUCGGGAAUAUUGCGCAAUGGAGGAAACUCUGACGCAGUGACGCUGCGUAUAGGAAGAAGGUUUUCGGAUUGUAAACUAUUGUCGUUAGGGAAGAUAAAAGACUGUACCUAAGGAGGAAGCCCCGGCUAACUAUGUGCCAGCAGCCGCGGUAAUACGGAGGAUGCGAGCGUUAUCCGGAUUUAUUGGGUUUAAAGGGUGCGCAGGCGGAUUUUUAAGUCAGCGGUCAAAUCGUGGGGCUCAACCCCAUCCAGCCGUUGAAACUGGGGAUCUAGAGUGUGCGAGAGGG
rnacentral:rRNA from 1 species